rnacentral:rRNA from 1 species
CAGUCGCCGCGGGAAUACAGAGGGUGCGAGCGUUAAUCGGAUUUACUGGGCGUAAAGCGUGCGUAGGCGGCUAAUUGAGUCGGAUGUGAAAUCCCCGAGCUUAACUUGGGAAUUGCAUUCGAUACUGGUUAGCUAGAGUGUGGGAGAGGAUGGUAGAAUUCCAGGUGUAGCGGUGAAAUGCGUAGAGAUCUGGAGGAAUACCGAUGGCGAAGGCAGCAAUCUGGCCUAACACUGACGCUGAGGUACGAAAGCAUGGGGAGCAAACAGGAUUAGAUACCCCCGUAGUCCCUGUCUCUUAUAC